AGACCAUGAUAGGGGCACAAAUGCUGAAGACGCUUAAAUCUUUCCCAGGCUUCAUAGAGCGACUCCCAUGGCUCUUGAGCCAAAUGUAGUGAUAUGGUGUCUGAUAUC
rfam:Beta vulgaris subsp. vulgaris chromosome 8, whole genome shotgun sequence.